GCCGAAGUGGUGGAAUUGGCAGACACGCUGCGUUCAGGUCGCAGUGGGGGCAACCCCAUGCUGGUUCAAGUCCAGUCUUCGGCACCA
rnacentral:tRNA from 1 species